rnacentral:rRNA from 1 species
ACGAACGCUGGCGGCGUGCUUAACACAUGCAAGUCGAACGGAAAGGCCCUGCUUUUGUGGGGUGCUCGAGUGGCGAACGGGUGAGUAACACGUGAGUAACCUGCCCUUGACUUUGGGAUAACUUCAGGAAACUGGGGCUAAUACCGGAUAGGAGCUCCUGCUGCAUGGUGGGGGUUGGUAAGUUUCGGCGGUUGGGGAUGGACUCGCGGCUUAUCAGCUUGUUGGUGGGGUAGUGGCUUACCAAGGCUUUGACGGGUAGCCGGCCUGAGAGGGUGACCGGCCACAUUGGGACUGAGAUACGGCCCAGACUCCUACGGGAGGCAGCAGUGGGGAAUAUUGCACAAUGGGCGGAAGCCUGAUGCAGCAACGCCGCGUGCGGGAUGACGGCCUUCGGGUUGUAAACCGCUUUCGCCUGUGACGAAGCGUGAGUGACGGUAAUGGGUAAAGAAGCACCGGCUAACUACGUG